UUUUAAGCACAAAUGAUAAUGAAAGAAUAGUUAGAUAUAUUAAUUUAAAAUGAUGUAUUAAUUAUUUAUUGGAUGAACAGCAAAUCUCAACUCUAAGUCAAGAAUCUCAUUUUAUAUUAUUGUGUCCUCUUAAUCUUUCACUGUGCUGGGGUUGUUGAAUCUUUGAAAAUGAAAAGCACCACUUAAUUUAUAAGUUCAUUUACCAGUCCUCAGUCUCAGUAUCAAUAUCCUCCUCAGAACAAAGAUACAAUCAUCUACAGACUCAGAAAUUUAAGGGGAAAUAUGGGCACAGUUGCUCGAGAUUCCACUGAAAUAUCCCCUGAAGACAUCAGCAAAAAUGGUGGCUCGGCCAAUCCCAAGAAGCUGGAUGCUGGUGCUCUCUUUGUCCUUAAAUCCGAAGGUGAUAGCAAGUAUAUAUAACUUUCUGGAACUUAGUUGUGAGUCUGGUUUGUGUGAGAAUUUAGUUUAUUGAUCGUUUACUUCCCCAUAUACAUGGUUUCUGUGAGAAUUUAAUUCAUUGUAAGAAUCGUGGUUUCAUAAGGCGGAAUUUAAUGUUUUGCUGAUCAUAUAUAUGAUUAAAAAUUGAGAUGAAAUUGAUUUCCUGUUUGUAUGUGGUUGCAGGCUCAUGGUUGCACUGUGGGUAUCAUUUAACGACGGCAAUAGUAGCACCUGCACUUCUAAGCUUGCCCUUUGCUUUCACCUUGUUGGGUUGGAGUGGUGGAGUUUUGUGUCUCACUGCGGCUGGACUUGUCACUUUCUAUGCAUACUCUCUUUUGUCCAUAGUUUUGGAGCACCAUGCCCAGCUCGGAAAGCGCCACCUUCGUUUCCGAGACAUGGCUCAUGAUAUUUUAGGUAUUAAGUCAAGACGACUAGUAAAUUUGGCAAUAACAAUGCUAUUUAUCAUUAUUAGUAUUAAACACCAGCUCAGAUGACAACUAGAUGGAAUUAAAUGAUGGAUUCAUUUAAAUGCAAGACUUAUUUAAUCUAAUCUAUCAAGUGUAACCAAUUACACAGGUGCACCACCGAUAAUGGAUAACAUUAUUCAUAUUAAAUAUUGUGAUACUCGUUACGUGUUUUUGAUGUUGUAUUAAUAAUAAAUAAUAAACUAUCAUAGGGCCGGCUUGGGGCCGUUACUUUGUGGGCCCACUUCAAUUGGGAAUAUGCUACGGAGCAGUGAUUGCUUGCACGCUUCUUGGUGGACAAAGCCUCAAGGUUAGAUUAUUCUGACUCCUUAAUUCCAAUAUAAAAUUACUAAUUCCAAACUGAUUUUUAACUUGAAUAGACUGGUCAUGUUGUGUUUGCAGUAUAUUUAUUUAGUAUCAAGACCAAAUGGGAGUAUGCAACUUUACCAGUUUAUUAUAAUGUUUGGAGGGUUAACCCUGAUCAUGGCACAAAUGCCUUCUUUUCACUCUUUAAGGCACAUCAACCUUGUCUCCUUAUUUCUUUGCCUUACUUACUGUGCUUGCACCACUGCAGGGGCAAUAUACAUAGGUAAACUUUUCAAUCUUAUGUUGUUUACUAAACCAAGAAUGCAUUCUUGCACUUAGGCACUUAGCUACGAUUCAUGACAACUCAAUAACUUUAUGUAGGUUAUUCUAGAAAUGCGCCUUCGAGGGAUUACACCAUCAGGGGAGUUGGAAUAGACCGUGCUUUUGGUGUCUUCAAUGCCAUUUCAAUUAUAGCAACUACUUAUGGCAAUGGAAUUAUUCCUGAAAUACAGGUUUUGGUCGUUGAACAAUCUUGCCCAAAAGUUUAAAAGUUAAAGAUGAUUUUUUUUUUUUUUAAAUGAUUUACAUAUGCUCCUCGAGUGAACCGAAUUUAGUUCACCAAAGGUUUAAAGCAUACACAACUUACUUGAAGGACGAGACUUCAACAUAUCAUUUUACCUCUUAUAUUCGUAUAAUAUAUGCCUUCAACUUUCAGUUGUAUCAUCUAAUGAUCACAGAUGUUGAUUAAGUGGAGCUAAAUUCUUGAAAUGCCUUAACAUUUGCAGGCCACUAUAGCACCUCCAGUUACAGGGAAAAUGUUCAAAGGGCUGUUGGUAUGUUAUUCUGUGGUGAUUUCUACAUUCUUCAGUGUUGCAAUAUCUGGGUAUUGGGCAUUUGGUAAUCAAUCUCAGGGAUCAGUUCUUUCGAAUUUCAUGGUCAAUGGGAAGCCAUUAUUGCCCAAAGGGUUCCUUGUGAUCACCUAUCUCUGCACUCUCAUCCAAGUAACAGCCGUCACUUUGGUAAGAUAUGUGUUCUAUUAGGGAGAAGACAUUUAUUUAUAUUUGGCUUUUAAAGCAUUGCCUCGAGUAGAUGCUGCGUUUCAUGUUGUUAUCAAUAGUCUGAUGGAUGCACAAAUGCCUUUAAAAAUCAAAUAAUGCUAUUUAUGAUGAAUGACUACUCUAGUCAUCCUAUGUAGCAGUUUCUUAUAUGAUGCAUUAAUUUCCUAUAAUUUUUUGAUCUCAAAUAACAAGUUAAUGCCUCAAAUAAUAAUAAGUUGACACAUAGGAUGAAUACUACAAUCGCUAAUCAUCAAUAGCGUUACUUUUAAAAAAAUAGAGAGACGGGAAUCUUUAUUUAGCAUCUUUUCUUUUUUGAAUCUUGGGCAGUUGAUUUGGACUCAUGUAUUCCAUAUACUUGUAAAAAAAUAAAAAGUACAAAUCAAUAAAAAUUGCUUAUUAGAUGGUGAUGAUUUCUCUCUAAAAUAAUCUACAUAUAUAGAUUCUUAUAUACUGUGGUUCUAAAAGGCUUUUUGCACAUGAUUUUGUUGAGAUAUCACAUUUUAAAUAUGAAAAAAGAAGUUAAAAUUUCAUGCAUUGUAUUGUUUAGUUAAAUUUCGGAACUUUACUUACUAAAAUAGAUGAAAUGCAGGUGUACUUGCAACCAACAAAUGUGGUCAUAGAGCGCCAGUUUGCAGACCCAAAUAAAGGCGAAUUAGGAGUGCGCAAUGUCGUUCCAAGGCUAAUAUUUCGGUCGCUAUCGGUGAUCAUCGCGACAACAUUGGCAGCGAUGUUACCGUUCUUUGGAGACAUCAUGGCGUUGUUCGGGGCAUUUGGUUGCAUUCCUCUAGAUUUUAUCUUGCCGAUGAUAUUCUAUAAUGUGACGUUCAAGCCCUCGAAAAAGAGCUUCAUUUUUUGGGGUAAUUCGCUCAUCGCUGCCGUCUCCACCGUGUUAGCAGUGGUUGGGGCAGUUGCAUCAGUGCGGCAAAUAAUUUUAGACGCAAAGACAUAUAAAUUGUUUGCUAAUAUGUAACAAUGUUAUUUGUAAGAGAGAAUUAGAAAUAUAUAUAAUGUUGAACUUCUCACUAGAAAGAGGAGAAGCUCGGUCGUAGCAGGAAAUAUCCUUCUUCUUAACCACAUGGAUGCUUUGAUUUCUAUAUUAUGUUGAAAUUUUAAGAAAAAGUUAAUCUAUGGUACUCGACGUGUCGUCAGUUGUUUUUCAUGAUAGAAUAAAUUUUCAUUCAUGUGGAAAUAUCUGUAGUCGCAAUGAAACCAAUUAAG
rnacentral:lncRNA from 1 species